rnacentral:misc_RNA from 1 species
GAUGAAGAACGCAGCGAAAUGCGAUAAGUAGUGUGAAUUGCAGAAUUCAGUGAAUCAUCGAAUCUUUGAACGCACAUUGCGCCCCUUGGUAUUCCAUGGGGCAUGCCUGUUCGAGCGUCAUUUGUACCUUCAAGCUCUGCUUGGUGUUGGGUGUUUGUCUCGCCUCUGUGUGUGAACUCGCCUCAAAACAAUUGGCAGCCGGCGUACUUGUUUCGGAGCGCAGCACAUUUUGCGAUCCAGAUCAACGUACAGCGGCAUCCAAGAAGCCUUAUUUAACGCUCUUGACCUCGGAUCAGGUAGGGAUACCCGCUGAACUUAAGCAUAUCAAUAAGCGGAGGA